GUUCAAACGCUAUGGAAUUCAGAAGAUCAGGACUCCGAGGAAGCAGUGGUGGGGCCAUACAAACUGGAUGUGUCGUCUUUUAAAACUCUGCAUGGGACAGAGUGGCUUUCUGAUGAGGUCAUUGAUGCAUACAUAUGGCAUGUAAUUGCACAUUAUCGACUACCGGUUCACCAGAUGUGCGCCUGUGCUGCUACGUCCUUAUUUAUCGGUGAAAUUUCAAGACUUG